rnacentral:snoRNA from 1 species
CAGCAUGAUGGGGACAUUUUCUGAUGAGGUCCUUUAAUCUUUCCCAUGACUCAUGGAACAGCUCAUCGUCUUGCUGUGAGAAUCACAAAAUCCAAUGAAUAGAGCCG